AUGUUGCUAGCCACAACACAAAGCACCAGAACACGCAGAGAAGAGAGAGAGAGAGAGAGAGAGAGAGAGAUGGCAGCCAGCAGCAUGAGCAGGGACGAGAGGUGGAACCUGGCCGGCGCGACGGCGCUCGUCACCGGCGGCAGCAAAGGGAUCGGCCACGCGAUCGUGGAGGAGCUGGCGGGGCACGGGGCGCGGGUGCACACGUGCGCCCGGAGCGCCGCGGAGCUGGAGGAGUGCCGCCGCCGGUGGGAGGCCAAGGGGCUCCCGGUCACCGUCUCCGUCUGCGACGUCUCCCUACGCACCCACAGGGCGCAGCUCAUGGAGACGGUUAAGCAGGUCUUCGACGGCAAGCUCGACAUUCUGGUGAACAACGCGGCGCAGAUUGUUGCCAAGGUGAGCGUGGAGUGGACAUCGGAGUACUCACACCUGAUGGCGACCAACUAA
rnacentral:rRNA from 1 species